AUCAUGCAAGUCGAGCGAACUGAUUAGAAGCUUGCUUCUAUGACGUUAGCGGCGGACGGGUGAGUAACACGUGGGCAACCUGCCUGUAAGACUGGGAUAACUUCGGGAAACCGAAGCUAAUACCGGAUAGGAUCUUCUCCUUCAUGGGAGAUGAUUGAAAGAUGGUUUCGGCUAUCACUUACAGAUGGGCCCGCNGUGCAUU
rnacentral:rRNA from 1 species